rnacentral:rRNA from 1 species
UCGGAUUAGCUAGUUGGUGAGGUAAUGGCUCACCAAGGCUACGAUCCGUAACUGGUCUGAGAGGAUGAUCCAGUCACACUGGAACUGAGACACGGUCCAGACUCCUACGGGAGGCGGCAGUGGGGAAUAUUGGACAAUGGGCGAAAGCCUGAUCCAGCCAUGCCGCGUGUGUGAAGAAGGUCUUCGGAUUGUAAAGCACUUUAAGUUGGGAGGAAGGGCAUUAACCUAAUACGUUAGUGUAGACGUACCGACAGA